rnacentral:lncRNA from 1 species
CCAAGAGUGGAGGAGGAGAUUAAGGGUCAAAAUAGGGGGCUAUUGUUGGAAGAAGCAAAUCUUCAUUCUACAGUCAAUAUGACUCUUUUAAAAUCUCAAUUUAUUUGUGGCUCAAAACAUCAACUUUCUUCACAAGUUGCUGUUUGUUGUUGUUUAGUCUCCAAAUAGUAUCCAACUCAUUGAGACCCCAUGGUCUGUAGCCUGCCAGGCUCCUCUGUCCAUGGGAUUUCCUAGGCAAGACUACUGGAGUGAGUUGCCAUUUCCUUCUCCAGGGCAUCUUCCCAACCCAGAGGUCAACCUGCAUCUCUUGCAUCUCCUGUAUCAGCAUUGGCAAACAGGUUCCUUACCACCAUCACCACCUGGGAAGCCCAGGAAAGCCAGAUAUUCAUUACCACUAGAAGUGGGUCACAGAGAGUUGGACUGUGAAGAAAGCUGAGAGCCAAAGAACUGAUGCUUUUGAACUGUGGUGUUAGAGAAGACUCUUGAGAGUCCCUUGGACUGCAAGGAGAUCUAAUCAGUCCAUCCUAAAGGAGAUCAGUCCUGGGUGUUCAUUGGAAGGACUGAUGCUGAAGCUGAAAUUCAAUACUUUAGCCACCUCCUGUGAAGAGUUGACUCAUUGGAAAAGACUCUGAUACUAGGAGGGAUUGGGGGCAGGAGGAAAAGGGGACGACAGAGGAUGAGAUGGCUGGAUGGCAUCACCGACUGGAUGGACAUGAGUUUGGGUGAACUCCGGGAGUUGGUGACGGACAGGGAGGCCUGGUAUGCUGUGAUUCAUGGGGUCACAGAGUUGGACACGACUGAGCAACUGAACUGAACUGAACUGUAUCAGUCUUCAGCUCAUUUGAGCAGCAAAGAUGAAUUUUGAAGUCGGUAAGUGAUUAGACUUUCCUGGUUCUGAUAACUAAUUCCUUCCAAUUCUAGAAUUUCUCUUUGGUAUCUUUUAUUUUUUUCCCUCACCUGUUCCUCCAGUCAGGUAGUACCCAAAUACCUUAAGCAAAAACUUAAAACAUAUUAUUUCCAUCAGAAGUAAGAACUGUUUUUUUUUUUCCCCCCAAAGGCUUGGGAGGUCAAGUGAAGACUCCUAAAAGUAAACUUUCCUAUUUUAAAAUUUGCUGUAGAACAUUCUUGGUGUUAAUCAUAUUUUUAAAUUCUUCUAUCAUUAGAUAUUCAUUACCACUAGAAGUGGGUCACAGAGAGUUGGACUGUGAAGAAAGCUGAGAGCCAAAGAAUUGAUGCUUUUGAACUGUGGUGUUAGAGAAGACUCUUGAGAGUCCCUUGGACUGCAAGGAGAUCUAAUCAGUCCAUCCUAAAGGAGAUCAGUCCUGGGUGUUCAUUGGAAGGACUGAUGCUGAAGCUGAAAUUCCAAUACUUUAGCCACCUCCUGUGAAGAGUUGACUCAUUGGAAAAGACUCUGAUACUAGGAGGGAUUGGGGGCAGAAGGAAAAGGGGACGACAGAGGAUGAGAUGGCUGGAUGGCAUCACCGACUGGAUGGACAUGAGUUUGGGUGAACUCCGGGAGUUGGUGACGGACAGGGAGGCCUGGUAUGCUGUGAUUCAUGGGGUUGCAAAGAGUAUGACACGACUGAGUGACUGAACUGAAGUGAACUGAACCACUAGAAGUGGUCACAAUAGUAAAGAAACAAUAGGAUUGUAUGUUAUUAUGUAAAGGCAUUUUGGAGUGAGGUAUACUUGUACCCUAGUUAUAUAAAUAGCUAGACUAAAUUGACAAACCCAAGUCCUUGUCUUAUUUAAACAUUCAAGAAAAAAUAUGUAUUCAGCUAUAACCCUUGUCCCUAUUGUUUACUCUUAGACUGUUUUAAUAAGCUGUAUUCUCCUUUGAUUUCUAAAGUUUUGAGAAAAUAAUAGGAUAGCAGUAGUCUUCAUAAAACCCCUUUUGUAUGUUGGUGUGCAAGUGCCUGCUCAGUCAGUCAUGUCUGAUUCUUGCAACCCCAUGGACUAUAACCUGCCAGGAUCCUCUGUCCGUGGGAUUUCCCAGGCAAGAAAACUGGAGUGGGUUGCCAUGUCCUCUUCCUGGGGGUCUUCUCCACCUACAGAUCAAGCCUGUGUCUCCUGCUUUGGCAGGCUGAUUCUUACCACUGAGCCACCUGGGAGUCCCCUGUAAGUUGGUACCCUGUUCAAAACCUUCAGUGUCUUAGGGUGUCAUGACUUGUUCUGUCAUGUUACACUGCAGAUACUGCUCUAUGUUCAUUGUUUCCAAUUCCUUUGCAAA